AAAUAUAAAGAAAGAGGAAUCGGGCAUGUCUACCUCCACGCUGCAUUGCUCCGUCAAGAUCUUCAGAUUGAUUAUGCUGGUUGUAUAACCAAAAGCCAAUCCGAUCCGUUCUGCAUGCUACCUUUAUUCUAUUAUGCUGAAUUUAGAAGUCAGCUUGCUAUUUGCUGCGAAGACAAUUUAGGAGACUGUUUAUUUAUACAAGGAUGGUAUUAAUUGUAGUUGCAAUUCUUGCAGUUGAGAUUUUAUGUUUCUGAUUGGCAGACCAUGGAAAUGCAUUUCCUUUUUUUCCAAUGCCAUAUACCGGGUAAUUUAUUCAUGAGACAAACUUGUUACUUGUUUUAACAGCAAUUAGUAAAUUUUAGUUUUUAUUUUAAAAGUAACUCUCGAUGUUAAUUAGGAAAAUAAUCUGUAGAGUUGACAGAUGUAUGAGAUUGACAAAAUUUGACAGAGAAUGCAGAUUUGCGAUAA
rnacentral:lncRNA from 1 species